GUUUGAGGAUAUUAGUAGAGCCAGAAGAGAAACAGCUCUCACAAUUACAAGAAGAUACACAGAUGAAGAUGACAUCUAUGGAAUCUUUUCCUUGCAAUUGAUGCAUUCUUUAGUCCAGUAAUAUCAUCUCACUUUGUAUCCAAGAGAUCCUCUCUGUUCAUGUAGAAUUCAGCCAAACACUACAAUGGAUGUGGAAUAAAUGAGCAACAAAUAUUGAAUUAAUAAAUAAACAUCGCACUUUCUGAUGAGGCUGGAGGCUCUCACUUGAUAGCAGAGGAUAAAGAGAAGAAGAAAAGCAGGAACUACUUUCGGCUGGUAAGCAGAUCUUACAGUACAGUAGUUAAGCAUAUAAUGUUUGGAGCCUGACUGAUAUAGGCACAAAUCUCAAGUCCACAACUAUGUGAACGUUGACUUGUGAGAAGAUCCAAAUUUGCUUUGCCUUUGCCUUCCACCAUGACU
rnacentral:lncRNA from 1 species